UUAAGCCAUGCGAGUCGAACGAGUUUAGGCUCGUGGCGUACGGCUCAGUAACACGUGGAUAACCUACCCUUAGGACCGGGAUAACCUUGGGAAACUGAGGAUAAUACUGGAUAGGCAAUUUUUCCUGUAAUGGUUUUUUGUUUAAAUGUUUUUUCGCCUAAGGAUGGGUCUGCGGCCGAUUAGGUAGUUGGUUAGGUAAUGGCUUACCAAGCCGUUGAUCGGUACGGGUUGUGAGAGCAAGAGCCCGGAGAUGGAACCUGGGACAAGGUUCCAGGCCCUACGGGGUGCAGCAGGCGCGAAACCUCCGCAAUGUGAGAAAUCGCGACGGGGGGAUCCCAAGUGCCAUUCUUAACGGGAUGGCUUUUCAUUAGUGUAAAGAGCUUUUGGAAUAAGAGCUGGGUAAGACCGGUGCCAGCCGCCGCGGUAA
rnacentral:rRNA from 1 species